rnacentral:lncRNA from 1 species
UCCAUGUGUCUGCAAAAAAGUUAUGAUUCUAUUGUUUUUUAUGCCUGAGUAGUAUUUCAUUGUGUAUAUUUUCUACAUUUUCUUUCUCCAAUCAUUUGUUGAUGGACAUUUAGGUUGAUUUUAUAUCUGUGCUACUGUGAAUAGUAUUGCAACAAAUACACAAGUAUAGUUAUCUUUCUGAUAGAUUGAUUUCUUUUCCUUUGCAUAAAUACUCAGUGGUGGGAUUGCUGAAUCAGACAGAGCCAAUGGAUGAUCAGUAAUGGUGGCCAAUCAUCAGCUAGAAACAAAGAACUUAGCAGGGCUUGAAAACACCAAAACUCUGAGACCACUGACCUUCAAAAACUUCAACAGCCCUGAGUGAAAAGUCCAAACACAUUUAUCUACCAUUCAAAGAUGCUUUAUUGUCUGUCCUCUGUGCAUCUCAGUAGCCUCUUUUUACCACACUGUCUCUAUACUGCAUGAGCCAUUUAUAUGAAACUAUCUGACUCUCCAUGGCAUCUUAUACCAUGUAUUCAACCAUGUAUCCCUAGUACCUAGCACAGUCUUGGUAUAUAGUUUGCUACUAAACUUUUGCAGAAUGAAGGAAUUAUCUUGUAUCGAGGUUCCAAGUUUUAAGGUGAUUCUUCACUAAGAAAAAGUAUUACAGUUCACAAAUAAUCUACUUCCCUUUUUACAGAUGGGAUCAAUUUUAAUCUUAUCUCCUAAUAACAUUACUUUCAUUUAUUCUGAUCUAAAUAUUCUGUCCUAAGAGAGCAAUAAGAAAGAGAGUUGAAGCUGGAGUUUGAAGAAUUGUACAUGGUUCUAUGAUACCUUACCUUGUUUUAACCUGAGUGACUCUCCCCUAGCAGAGAGAGAGCCAGACAGACUCUAUUUUAGUUUCUUCACGUGCAACCCCCUUUACCUCCCUCCCUUAAGGGCAUAACUAGUGUAAACUGACUCAAAGCACAUCCAGGAAUGCACAUACUGAUAAGAUAUUGAGGCAAGCUGCACCAGCAGCUCCUAGGGACGUGCUUGGUGAAUGUCACCCAAAACCCCUGCAUUUCUCUCUUUGUGAUAGUUUAAGUCCCUGCACCUGGAACUGUUUCUUUGUUGUGUAACUGCUUUUGUAACCAAUUAAUUUUUUAACUAUUUGCCAGCUCUGCUUCAGUAAAAAUUGUUUCAGUUAAACUCCCCCCUCCCCUAUUUAGACCACGGAAUAAAAACAAAAUCAGCCCCUUCCUCGGGGCCAAGAGAAUUUUCAGCGUUAGCUGCCUCUCCGUCGCUGGCUAAUAAAGGAUUCCUUAAUUUGUCUCAAAGUGUGGCGUUCCUCUAUAACUCGCUUGGUUACAACAGUCCACACUGUGGCCUGAGGUGCAUCGCCCACCUGAGCUUCAUCUGUUAUCUAUGUCAGGGAAGAUAAGCAGGGUGAGAGUGGCCUCAUCAGAAGACCCAAGAUCUCUGGCUUCCCCAUCUGGCAAGUGCACCUCUGUGAACAAAGACUUCAGAGCCAGAUGACAAGAAUGGCCCAAGCAGUCCACCAGGGAAACUUGGGCCCAGUGUACAUCAAUGCAGAGCGUCAAGCAUGGCAUAACAGGUGGACAGUUGCCUAUUCCUGUUCAGAGAUGACUGCAUCCCACACACUGUAAAAUGAAGAAAUGCAGAGAAGCAGAUGUAACUGAAGCAGACAGCAGGAACAACAAGGAAGGACAACCACGACCUAGGAGGGCACCAUGCCAGAGAUGCCUGGACCCUAUGCUAGGCUCAGUGCCUGUUAUACUCUUGGGAUCCAGCGCUUUCCCUCUCCAUCACAAUGCAUACUUGGCAUUAUUUGUUGUUUAAAAUAUUUUCCUUAGUUUUCACCUUUCCUAGGAGACACAGGCAGACCCUGUGACACUACAGCUUCUGGCACACAGUAGGUGCAUCACAAACAUCUGUUGAGUUCACACACUCUUGCCUUCUCAAACCUUUUUGUCAAGUCUUCAGUGAAAAGGAAUUGCUGAUUGAGCAAGAAUUAAACUUCUAGAGACUUCUGGAUCCACUGAAGUUUAAGACAAGGUGAGAUUUGUUUACUGCCAUAUUCCUAGCUCAUAGCAUACUGUAGUCACUUAAAAAAUGUUUGUUGAAUCAGUGACUGAAUUGAUUCAUACGUCAUACUUAGCUAUAUAUUUUCUGAGUAAAAUUGAUGAAUUUAAUGGUUUAAUUCUAGUAUAAUUUUACUUUCCUUAUUCAACGAACCUGACAAUUCAACUUGGUGCCAAGCACACGGCUGCUGAAGUAAAGGAGGUAUAAGAUACAAUUUCUGUCUACAAGAAAGCCACAAUCUAAAAAGUAGAAACAUAUGAACAAAUUAUAAUAAUAAAUAGGCUACAUUCAAAAUCAGAGGGGUCUGUUUCUAUUUUAAACAGCUCUAGUCAGGAAGUGUUAGAAAGUUCUAAACAGGAAAUGUUCCAACACACCAUCCAAGCAUGAAGCAGGAGACACCUAUAAUUGAGCUUGCUGCCACCAACCCCAACAGCAAGAAUUCCAGUCCUGCUGCUGCAAAGUAGAAUUAUCGUUUGACUUCUGUUUUGCUGACAAGAAAUGUCCUGAGCAAGGCUACCUGGGAAAAUGACCUCACACAUGGAAAACGUUGGAGCCCAUCUGUUUCCAAUGUGCUGUUUUCCGAAAAUUAGGGAAGUUCAGUUUUCCCUUUGACACUCUCUCUUACUACCAAUCCCAAUGCCAGGGCUGUCCUGCUUCUACAAGUGACAAUGACAAAUAUGGGCCUGAAGAAAGAUGAGCUGAUGGCAUUCCCAGCUUAUUACCUCUCCUUGGGGUCCUUAUCUCACAUACAUGAAUUCAACUCAUAAACUCAGCUGGGUGAGGAUCUGUUAUUCAGCUACAUAAGAAGUGAUUGCUUAAGACUCGGGUGUGUGGUGAAAUGAGGCAGAAUUUUCUCAAUGGAAUGUUGGGAGAAUUUUCUCAUUAUUACCAUCUUACUAUCACUAAAUCAUAGCUAAAAUGAAGACAUUGUUCAAGAAGAAAUAGAAAUGUAACCUUAUGAGGACAUAAAUUUAGAGAUUUGUGGAGAGCUCUUCAUAAUUUUAUGGUGUUGUCUUUGAGCUGGGAUUAUAGUUGACAUUUCAUUAUAAUAUAUUAGCUGUUCUAGACUUUAUGCAUUUAUGCAGUUUUCUUUAUUGUACUUUAAGUUCUGUGAUACAUGGGCAGAGCAUGCAGGUUUGUUACAUAGUUAUACACGUGUCGUGGUGGUUUGCUGCACCCAUCAACCCGUCAUCUACAUAUGUAUUUCUCCUAACGCUAUUCCUCCCCUAGCCUCCCACCCCAUGACAGGCCCCAGUGUGUGAUGUUCCCCUCCCUGUGUCCAUGUGUCCU